rnacentral:rRNA from 1 species
GACGAACGCUGGCGGCGUGCCUAAUACAUGCAAGUCGAACGCAGUGGGGACGGGUGAGUAACACGUGGGUAACCUCCCAUCAGAGGGGAUAACACUUGGAAACAGGUGCUAAACCGAUACUGAUGGAUCACCCCGCGGUGCAUUAGCUAGUUGGUGAGGGAACGGCUCACCAAGCCCACGAUUCAUAGCCGACCUGAGGGGGGAGCCGGCAACACUGGGACGUGGACACGGCCCAGACUCCUACGGGAGUCAGCAGUAGGGAAUCUUCGGCAAUGGACGAAAGUCUGACCGAGCAACGCCGCGUGAGUGAAGAAGGUUGUCGGAUCGUAAAACUCUGUUGUUAGAGAAGCGGUAUCUAACCAGAAAGCCACGGCUAACUACGUGCCAGCAGCCGCGGUAAUAC